AGGAUGAACGCUAGCGGCAGGCUUAAUACAUGCAAGUCGUGGGGGCAGCAUGAGUAGCAAUACUUGAUGGCGACCGGCAAACGGGUGAGGAACACGUACACUAACCUCCUUCGAAGCGGGGAAUAGCCCAGAGUAAAUUGGAUUAAUACCCCAUAAUAUAUUUGAUAAGGCAUCUUAUUAAUAUUAAAGCUUCGGCACUUGAUGAUGGGUGUGCGGCUGAUUAGAUAGUUGGCGGGGUAACGGCCCACCAAGUCUACGAUCAGUAGCUGAUGUGAGAGCAUGAUCAGCCACACGGGCACUGAGACACGGGCCCGACUCCUACGGGAGGCAGCAGUAAGGAAUAUUGGACAAUGGACGAAAGUCUGAUCCAGCCAUGCCCGCGUGAAGGAUUAAGGUCCUCUGGAUUGUAAACUUCUUUUAUAUGGGACGAAAAAAGGGCAUUCUUGUUCACUUGACGGUACCAUAUGAAUAAGCACCGGCUAACUCCGUG
rnacentral:rRNA from 1 species